ensembl:lncRNA
UUUUAAAGGCACUAAAAUAUAGGUAUGAAAAUCCUUAAUGGCUGUUUUGAAACUAAAUAGGCUGAACUCAGCAUACCUUGACAGGUAUUUUAUAUUGUAAUUGUUUAUAUCCAUUUAUAUUAUAUUUUUAUGGAUUCCAUCAUUACUUUUAACCAUGUAGAUAGUAGUUAAAAAUACCCUGUUUACAUUAUAAUAUUCUGUUUUGGCUACAGAUUUUUUUUCCCCAUCAGUAUGUUUGGAACAAAAUUACAAAAUAUGCAAGAGAUAAUGUUCCUGCCUUGACUAACAGACUGUCCGCCAGAAGUUGAACAAUAUCAUCUGUCACUUCAAAGCGCUCUUGUGUACGACUUAUCUUACCCUGGCAGAAAGAGGUUCAUUGGGAACUAAAAUGGGCAAGACAUGCAAAGACAGUAGUGAAACAAGCCAAGGAAGGAAUUGUUCAGAAUGGACAACUAAUGCUCAUUUGCAGUGCUUUGGUAAUAAUUUUCCUUUUCACUUUUUAGAUUUUUGUUUUAUUUUAAUUCAAAGAGAAAUACUGAGUUACUCUUUGGUAAGGAGUUAUUGCAAGAGUGUCCUCAUGGUUCAGUCAAACCCACCAUUUCAGAGAAGGGUAAAAGAUGAAGUAAAUAAGUAAUAAAUAAAAUAAGAUAAAGUCAAAACAUAGAAAACAGCUGUGACUGUGUGGACAGACAGUGAAGAAAUGUGUGAGCAGAGGUAGGUGAAUGAAAAUACUGAUCAUGGUCUGGAGGCAUAAAAAUUAUCCCCACGGUUAAAUAGGGCAGUUAUUGCUCUACCUUAAGAGGACUACAUCAGCUAUACUACAAAGCGACACUAUUAUAGCCAUGAAAACCUAAAGCAAUUAGAGUGUCAAAGUUGGUUGAUAUGAUAUGUCUCAAACUGUUUAAAUUGUUUCAAAAUAUUUGUGUAUCACUACAACUUAUUAAGCAGUGUCUUUAUAUAUGACACCCUCUACACCUGACUGAAAGCACAUAAGCAGUUAAGAGCAGCUUUUUUUUCUAAUCAGAGGUGUAGCAGCUGCUGAAAAAUAUAAGUAAAUCUGUGACGACCAGUAAUUCUAUAUUUCCUAGCUAUUUGAAAAUGCAUUAUCCAUUUCUAUCAGUUUUCAUUUAGGGUCUAGGCAUAGAAUACUCACAGAAAAAAAUAUAUACAUAAUAAUAAUAAAAAAUCAAACUGUUAGUUCCCUCCAGCAAUGAGACUAAUUUAUUUCCUGAGUAUUUUUACCUGAAUAUCCUUCAACUUUCUCCAGUUUCCAGAAUCGUUUCCUUCCUUCCUUCUCACAAACUGCAUUCUCUCUGCCUUCUGAACAUUUAUUUUUCCCCAAGCUAAACUUAAGUUGAUCAGAGAGGUUUCUGAGACGAUUGGUUCCGAUUAUGUCAUAUUCAUCCUUCUGACUUACCAAUAUGACAUUCUUAAUUGUCAUCAGUACUCUGACAUAUUCUUAUCACUUAGAAGCAUUUAGAUCCAAAAGGGAAAUAAAGAGGUCCCAUUUAAGCUUCUGACUGCAUUGAGUUUGAGUGUAUGGUAGCCCCACACAGCCAAUAAUACACAAUCACACUGGAGUGAGCUACUCUGUGAGGUAACAGAUUCUUAGUCGUGUGCCAGCAAAUCUAGCUAUGCUGCUACAAAUUUGUUAUUUUCAGUAAUCAAAAUGGAUGAAAAAUAUAUGAAAAAAUGGUGUGUCAUUUUUGUAAUCAGUUUUUAUUACAGCAUACGUAUGUACUAAGUGUACAGUUUAAUUUCUAGCAGCCAGAGAGAAUGUUAUUGCACCCAAAGAGAAGUUGGAGAAAGAGAAGAUGUGCACAAGAAAAGCUUUGCUUCUUUUUUUCUUCUACAAUCACCUGACCAAUAAGGAUCAUCUCAUGUACUCUUGGCAGGGAUUUCAUGUUGCUGAUAUAGUCCAUGGCAAUCUGUCAUCACUUACAGAGAAUGAAUAAAUUCAGAUGCACAGGGAAUAAAACAGGUGGUGAAGUGCUUGCUCCUUCAGCUUCCAGUUGCCAUAUUUCGUCUUUUGUUGUUGUUGUUGUUGGAGGUGGUGGUAGUGGUGGUGGUGGUUUGUCUGUUGUAUAGAAAUAUCUGUGAAUUUUCCAUUAAAAAAUUAUAAAGUUAAAUAAAUUAGAAUAAACUCUGGGAUAAUAGAUAAACAGAUUGCUUGUGUACACAUAGUAAAUCUGAUAUUCCUUCUUACAAAAAUGUUACAAUCAUGUGGUUAAGUCCAUUUCUUGGAAGCAUCAGACAUACUGUAGAGAGAUUCAUUUAAUUAAAUUUAAAUGCAGAUGUCUGCACCUGAACUAGCCACCCUAGACUCCCUUUAAACUCAAUAGAGAGAAAUGAGAGUUUCUAGUGUGCAAUUCAUCUCGUCCUAAAGUACAUGUCUGAAAUAGAUCAAAUGAAUUGCACAUAAAAGUGCUUAUUCUCUCCAUCAACUAUAAAAGAAUACUAAGAAACUAGCCCUGCUGUAGAUGUCUACAUUGCAGAUAUCUAGAGUGUGAUUGAUUUCAUGCUAUUUUAUAUAUUUAAAUAGUGGGUGAACAUAAUAUGCUGUUAUAAGAUGUAGAGUUUAGAGAUUAAUUCAGCCAAUCAAAUGAAACUGUGUAUUUUAUUAAGAGGAGGAAAAAAAAAACAAAACAAAACCUUUGCUAAACUUAUGUAAGAUGAUCAGACAACAUUACCCUGGGGUGAGUUUUCAGUCAGGUUCCAAAGCAGUUCAUGAAGACAGUCUCAAUGUCAUCUACUGUUUCAAAUUGGCCCUUAUUAUGAGGUUUACUUUUUCUUACAG